GAUUAUGAGGAAGUUUGGGUUGAAAAAGAAGAUACUAAUGUUGUAAUCCAGGAUAAAUCAUCACCUAAAGACUAUGAUGAGGAUUGUUUUUCAAGUUUGAUUGGAAGAUAUUCAACUUUAGAUAAUAAGCAAGAUAGAUCUGACAAAAAAAAACUUAAAGAUGAGGAGAUAGAAAAAGUAAGACAAUCAAGAGAAUUAAAUCCAUAUUUUAAAAACCCAUGCAAUAAAGUAGAUAUUUCUAACAAAACAAAUUCUACACCAUCAAUAAUUAUUGGGGAUGGAGGUGCAAGUUGGCUAAGGAAAUCAUUUAAAAGAGCAAAAGAACAAUCAGUUGACACAGGAAGACCUCUACAAGAAAUUAUAGCAGAGAGAUUGGGAUCAUUGGAAAAAUUUAAAAAAUUGCUUGAGGAAGCUGAGAAGAAAGAAGAUGUCUCCUAUGCAUCUGAUCAACCACCCUCAAGAUAUAUACAUAAUAAAGAUGGUUAUAGCAAGUAUGAUAAACUUGGGAAAAAGGACAAAGAUUUGUUUAAAUAAGAAUUUAUUUGAUCAAGUAAAAUGAGGAAUAAGUUAAUGAAGUUAAUAAUUGGUAUUCAUAAUUCAAGUUGGAAGUCUUAAGUA